AUUGAACGCUGGCGGCAGGCCUAACACAUGCAAGUCGAACGGUAACAGGAAGAAGCUUGCUUCUUUGCUGACGAGUGGCGGACGGGUGAGUAAUGUCUGGGAAACUGCCUGAUGGAGGGGGAUAACUACUGGAAACGGUAGCUAAUACCGCAUAACGUCGCAAGACCAAAGAGGGGGACCUUCGGGCCUCUUGCCAUCGUAUGUGCCCAGAUGGGAUUAGCUAGUAGGUGGGGUAACGGCUCACCUAGGCGACGAUCCCUAGCUGGUCUGAGAGGAUGACCAGCCACACUGGAACUGAGACACGGUCCAGACUCCUACGGGAGGCAGCAGUGGGGAAUAUUGGACAAUGGGCGCAAGCCUGAUGCAGCCAUGCCGCGUGUAUGAAGAAGGCCUUCGGGUUGUAAAGUACUUUCAGCGGGGAGGAAGGGAGUAAAGUUAAUACCUUUGCUCAUUGACGUUACCCGCAGAAGAAGCACCGGCUAACUCCGUG
rnacentral:rRNA from 1 species